rnacentral:lncRNA from 1 species
UAGGUGGCAGAGCAGCCACUCAUUUCAUUCGAAAAAUACCUGAUUGAAUCUUUUGAUUAUAAAAUCCAAUUUAGGUUUAGAUUUUAAUCAUCUUUAAGCCUAAUUUUUUUUAUCUAAUUUUUUAAAUUUUAGGUCUUUUUUUUUUACAGCUGUACUGGGAAAAAAAGUUUAUUUUCUUUUGAUCUGAGCUCUCACUGGUCACACCUUACAGGUGCAACCAAUCCCAGACAAUUAUAGUGUAGAAAUCGUCGCAGCUUGUGAUUGGCCGAUGACAUUUAAGCUGUUCCUAUAUCCGGAAAGCGGCGUAGAUCAAAGGACGUACAUAAAGCAUCGCUGCGCAUGUGCUGCGGUUUCCAGGGGUUGCGCACAAAUAAACGAUGCGUAGAAUUAAAACGGCAGGUUCCGCUGUGUGCGUGGCUGCAGCUCUUCUCCUGAUAUCCUGUUUGCUCCAAACGGCAGAGUGUCUUCGCUUGAGGAAAACGGAGAGACGAGCAGCGCAGCGGGAGCCCGCGCCCCGCACCGAUGCGGGCGUUCAGGAGGGGCAAAUCAUCUUUGGGGAAAUUUCCGAGAAGGUCACAGAUAAUAAAAGCAAGAAAACUUCUAACGCUUCUGCAGACGAUGAAUCGGCUUACCAAGCAGAUUUUCCAGGGUGGUAUAAGGUAAAUAUGGAGGAUCCUGCAUCCAAAGACAAGUGGAAGCAAAUGGCAACAUCCCUGUAUUGUUUUGGGGAUCACAUGAAGUUCAGGUCACUUGGUCCAGGUGCUUCACAGUUUGAAGUCGAGCAAGCAAACAAACAGUCCCUACCUCUGUCCAUGGUACCCCAAAAAUGUGGCUACAACAUGCUUGGAAACUCCCUGGCAUUUGUUCUGACUGUUCCUUACAGUGGCUGCCACAUGCGUCAUCAGGUAAGUUUUCUUGAGUAGGCCUAAUUAAAAUUGUUUUUUGUUUUUGUUUGGUUUUUUACAUUUCGAGCUUAAUUUUGAUUUCUUUAUUCAAAUGUUGUGGUCAAACAGUGAUGUA